rnacentral:rRNA from 1 species
AACGAACGCUGGCGGCAUGCCUAACACAUGCAAGUCGAACGAGACCUUCGGGUCUAGUGGCGCACGGGUGCGUAACGCGUGGGAACCUGCACUUAGGUUUGGAAUAACUCCCCGAAAGGGGUGCUAAUACCGGAUAAUGUCUUCGGACCAAAGAUUUAUCGCCUUUGGAUGGGCCCGCGUUGGAUUAGCUAGUUGGUAGGGUAAAAGCCUACCAAGGCGACGAUCCAUAGCUGGUCUGAGAGGAUGAUCAGCCACACUGGGACUGAGACACGGCCCAGACUCCUACGGGAGGCAGCAGUGGGGAAUAUUGGACAAUGGGCGAAAGCCUGAUCCAGCAAUGCCGCGUGAGUGAUGAAGGCCUUAGGGUUGUAAAGCUCUUUUACCCGGGAUGAUAAUGACAGUACCGGGAGAAUAAGCUCCGGCUAACUCCGUG